GGCCAAUGAUGUAAUGAUAUGUAUUAGCCGAAUCCACAGUUGAUGUGAAUUUUUAAAGACAUUUAAAUUAUGCCGAGAUCUU
rnacentral:snoRNA from 1 species